rnacentral:rRNA from 1 species
CCUACGGGAGGCAGCAGUGGGGAAUCUUGGACAAUGGGGGAAACCCUGAUCCAGCCACGCCGCGUGAGUGAUGAAGGCCCUAGGGUCGUAAAACUCUUUCGCUGGGGAAGAUAAUGACGGUACCCAGUAAAGAAACCCCGGCUAACUCCGUGCCAGCAGCCGCGGUAAUACGGAGGGGGUUAGCGUUGUUCGGAAUUACUGGGCGUAAAGCGCACGUAGGCGGAUUAGUCAGUCAGAGGUGAAAUCCCAGGGCUCAACCCUGGAACUGCCUUUGAUACUGCUAGUCUUGAGUUCGAGAGAGGUGAGUGGAAUUCCGAGUGUAGAGGUGAAAUUCGUAGAUAUUCGGAGGAACACCAGUGGCGAAGGCGGCUCACUGGCUCGAU